rnacentral:misc_RNA from 1 species
UUGAUAAGCGUGAGGUCGGAGGUUCAAGUCCUCCCAGGCCCACCAAUUUAUGAUUGCUGAUAAGUUUUUUGUGAAUGUUUUGAUGGUCUUUUAUCUUACGAUCUUUCGCUUUUAUGUUGCAAUCUUUCAAAAGUAUUUGAACUGUUUUAGGGGCCGUAGCUCAGCUGGGAGAGCACCUGCUUUG